rnacentral:lncRNA from 1 species
ACCCGCGGGUCCUAGCGAGCUGUCCGGCCAGCUGGUCUAGCAUGCAGGUCCCGCGAAUGCCGAAGGACAAGCGGGAGAAGGGAGGACCCGGCCUUCUGUUUGUCCUCAGGGAGGGAUCCUGGGGCGCAGACUAGCCCGUCUUCUGGUCCCACCCAAACGGCAGCUCGACUUGGAAGCCUGGCCGCAGGGACCCAGUCCAGCCCCCGCUAGCUGCUCUCACAGCACCGUGCUUAUUCUUUUCUAAAUCUUGUUAUGUCGAUGCGCUUAUUUGAACGAUCUUGGGUUCACUGCAGUCUCCCUCCAGACGAGGUCUUCAGCCUGUUUGUGGACCCUCAACAGUUUGAUCUGUGAAAGAAACAUGCAUAAAUGUAUGAAUACACGAAUAAAUGAGUGCUAAGUGACGAUCACACCGCUACAAACCUAACUGAAAGUGACUGUGCUUUCUCACUCUCACCUGAGUUUUUCCCUCUGCAGUUUGGUCGAGGCCAGGAUAGUGGAGGCAUGAAGAGAACCUGUCUUGUGCUUCACCUGCACAUCUGGCUGGUCGCCCCUAGAAGGUGUCAGUAAUUCCUCAAUCUGCUCCCCUCCUCCUGGGAGCACCAGUUUUUCCAUCCACAAAUCUGCAUACACUUGACUGAACUAGCUUCUUAUCUGUAUGAUAGAGAAACAUGCCAAAGCGCAAGGCAGCUCACGGCUUAUUUCCUCCCAUGGAGAAUAACUCCCCUGCCUCCUU